rnacentral:lncRNA from 1 species
CACUCCGGGCAACUGCGACAGUCGUCUUCCACGGCCCUCCUUAUCCCGGACCAGUGGAACCGGUGGCGAUCCGUUCCCGGGUCUUCUCCAUUCCCAGGUGCGCCCCCAACAGGUGGACCAGCUGAAGAACGGUUCCCACGUACCGUCGGGGUAGCAACAAUAUCUCUUGAAGUUCCCCCUGUUGGUGCGACACCUGACACAAAAGGUUAUUCUUGAUUUGGAAAUAGGGGUAUCGCCAGUCACUCACCCCCGGAAGUAGCUGUCCAUCCACCGUUAUCACUUGGGCUGCAGCGGCUUUGAAGUUAGGAUCCUCCCACUGGACCGUCCCGAAUUGUCCCCUCAGUUGGCCCCCAGACUGGCCCCUCGAAAUCGAGGAGGGGGAGGCUGGGCUCUUCCUCCCGUGGUUCCCCAGUGGGGUCAGGUUCCAGCACCCCCUCCGACUCCAGCUCCGGACCCGUAGAUACAGGUUGGUCAACCGUUUGCUUCCGGGCCGCACAGGCGAUGGGUCAUCCUCGCUCUUGUCUUCGGCCAGCUCGUACCUUCUUCCUCAGCUCGUGCCCCCACAGGGCCGCAAACAGCGGACAAUCUCAUCCCACUAGGAGAGGUACCGGCAACUCUGGUACUGCACCCACCAUCAUCUGGCAGCUCCUUUGGGGCGUCACAAUGUUGGCCCGUAUGGUUGGAUACCGCUUUGUGUCCCCAUGAACACAGGAAAUUGACAUCUCCCUACCACGUUCGGUCUCCUGGUUCAGCAGGCACAUGGUUACGAGGGUAACCAUACUUCCGGAGUCCAAUAGAGCUUCCGUGUCGUGCCCUUCUGCCCUUCUGGCAGCUUUAUGGGCCUUGCACAGCUGGUGAGCAAUCAGCCCUUGAUUACUCACCAACUCCCAAUCAGCCCCAAUUAGUCCUGGACGGAGAGCCCGUCGAGAUCUGGCAUGUCCAGCCAAUGGAGCCAUCGCCUCGUGACGUACACUCUGUCUGUCACCAGGCCUCGACGAGUCUCCCCCUGGUGGCUGACCUGCUGUACGCCACAAUGAAUACAACAGUAUAUAUAGCAUGUUAACAUAGAGAUAUAUAUAUAUAAACUAUACAACAGUAUAUAUAGCAUGUUAACAUGGGAAUAUAUAUCAUCUAUAAAUGAAUAUAACAGUCUAUAUGGGUCCAGUGUUGGUUUCUUGAGGAUGGAAGCGACUCGGGCCAUCUUGAAGUCAGUUGUCAGGGAUGAGUUGGUGAGGGAAGUGAGGAAUGGGAGAAGGUCUCCAGAGAUGAGUUGAUGAAGGAAGUGAGAAGGUCUCCAGAGAUGGUGUGGAGAAGGGAAUGGGGAUGAGUUGAUGAGGGAAGUAAGAAGGUCUCCAGAGAUGGUGUGGAGAAGUGAGGAGGGAAUGGGGUUGAGUUGAUGAGGGAAGUUAGGAAGGGGAGGUCUCCAGAGAUGGUCUGGAGAAGGGAAGAGGGAAUGGGGUUGAGUUGAUGAGGGAAGUGAGGAAGGGGAGGUCUCCAGAGAUGGUCUAGAGAAGGGAGGAGGGGUUGAGUGGGCAGGUUGUCGGGCGGACGGACAUCACUAAUCGCAGGAUUUUAUCUGGAGUGAGAGGGGAGAAAGAGGUCAAGGCGUAUGGUAGUUAUGGAGAGAGAUGGGAGAAAGAGGUCAAGGCGUAUGGUAGUUAUGGAGAGAGAGGGGAGAAAGAGGUCAAGGCGUAUGGUAGUUAUGGAGAGAGAUGGGAUAAAGAGGUCAAGGCGUAGGGUAGUUAUGGAGAGAGAGGGGAGAAAGAGGUCAAGGUGUAUGGUAGUUAUGGAGAGAGAGGGGAGAAAGAGGUCAAGGUGUAUGGUAGUUAUGGAGAGAGAGGGGAGAAAGAGGUCAAGGUGUAUGGUAGUUAUGGAGAGAGAGGGGAGAACGAGGUCAAGGUGUAUGGUAGUUAUGUGUGAGUGGGACCAGUGGACUCAGUAGGCUGAGUGAAUGAGGAGCAGAUGCCCUCUAGUGACCACUAUUCCAACACUAUAGUCAAUUACUUUGGGCCAAAGUCUCCCAAAGCUGUCUAAUACAUCUGGUCUAAAGUAGUGCACUAGGAAGGGAACAGGGCUCUGGUCUAAAGUAGUGCACUAUGAAGGGAACAGGGCUCUGGUCU